UACGUAGGGGGCAAGCGUUGUCCGGAAUCAUUGGGCGUAAAGAGCGUGUAGGCGGCCAGAUAAGUCCGCUGUGAAAACUCGAGGCUCAACUUCGAGCUGUCGGCGGAAACUAUCUGGCUAGAGUCCGGAAGAGGAGAGUGGAAUUCCUGGUGUAGCGGUGAAAUGCGCAGAUAUCAGGAAGAACACCCGUGGCGAAGGCGGCUCUCUGGGCCUUACCUGACGCUCAGGUGCGAAAGCUAGGGGAGCGAACAGG
rnacentral:rRNA from 1 species